rnacentral:rRNA from 1 species
CCUACGGGGGGCUGCAGUGAGGAAUAUUGGUCAAUGGGCGAGAGCCUGAACCAGCCAAGUCGCGUGAAGGAUGACGGCCCUACGGGUUGUAAACUUCUUCUGUCAGGGAGCAAUUGGGUCCACGCGUGGGCUUAGCGAGAGUACCUGAAGAAAAAGCAUCGGCUAACUCCGUGCCAGCAGCCGCGGUAAUACGGAGGAUGCGAGGGUUAUCCGGAUUUAUUGGGUUUCAAGGGUGCGUAGGCGGAAUGUCAAGUCAGCGGGAAAAAUUCGGGGCUCAACCCCGUCGUGCCGUUGAAACUGAUGUUCUGGAGUGGGCGAGAAGUAUGCGGAAUGCGUGGUGUAGCGGUGAAAUGCAUAGAUAUCACGCAGAACUCCGAUUGCGAAGGCAGCAUACCGGCGCCCAACUGACGCUGAAGCACGAAAGCGUGGGUAUCGAACAGGAUUAGAUACCCGUGUAGUC